AGUGAACGCUGGCGGUAGGCCUAACACAUGCAAGUCGAACGGCAGCACAGUAAGAGCUUGCUCUUACGGGUGGCGAGUGGCGGACGGGUGAGGAAUACAUCGGAAUCUACUUUUUCGUGGGGGAUAACGUAGGGAAACUUACGCUAAUACCGCAUACGACCUACGGGUGAAAGCAGGGGAUCUUCGGACCUUGCGCGAUUGAAUGAGCCGAUGUCGGAUUAGCUAGUUGGCGGGGUAAAGGCCCACCAAGGCGACGAUCCGUAGCUGGUCUGAGAGGAUGAUCAGCCACACGGGAACUGGGACACGGUCCAGACUCCUACGGGAGGCAGCAGUGGGGAAUAUUGGACAAUGGGCGCAAGCCUGAUCCAGCCAUACCGCGUGGGUGAAGAAGGCCUUCGGGUUGUAAAGCCCUUUUGUUGGGAAAGAAAAGCAGCAGGUUGAUACCCCGCUGUUCUGACGGUACCCAAAGAAUAAGCACCGGCUAACUUCGUG
rnacentral:rRNA from 1 species